GCGCACCAGGCGCGAAACCUUUACAAUGCGCGCAAGCGUGAUAAGGGGAGCCUAAGUGCUUGCCGAAUGGGUAGGCUUUUGCCGAGCGUAAAUACCUCGGAGAAUAAGUGGUGGGUAAGACCGGUGCCAGCCGCCGCGGUAACACCGGCGCCACAAGUGGCGGUCGCGUUUAUUGGGCCUAAAGCGUCCGUAGCCGAACUAGUAAAUCUUUUGUGAAAUCGUAUGGCUUAACCAUGCGGAUUGCAAAAGAGACUGUUAGUUUAGAGACCGGGAGGAGGCAGAGGUAUUCCAUGGGGAACGGUAAAAUGUGAUAAUCCUUGGAAGACCACCAGUGGCGAAGGCGUCUGUCUAGAACGGAUCUGACGGUGAGGGACGAAAGCUGGGGGGAGCAAAACGGAUUAGAUACCCCCGUAGU
rnacentral:rRNA from 1 species